rnacentral:lncRNA from 1 species
CAUCACGAAGACGUCCCUAAGUGCUGGUGGCAGUUUUUUGUGGGGUUGCCUUCAGGAAACACCUUUCAAAGCCUAAAAUAGCCAGUGUUUAGACAAUUGAUGGAAUGAGAAUGCUUCAGACAGUGAAGGGAGGUGAUCAUAGAAUUAUGAUCCAGAAGAGAUACAGAUGUCACGAGUCAGCCUGUUUGGAGACAUCACCUGCAAUGAAUGAUUUCCAGAAACACUCACUUAGUGGAGUCAGGGAACAAUAAUGAAGGUUAACUGUCCAAAGGUUUUCAAAAAAGCUCUUAAUAUAUUACUCCAUGUUAAAAGUUGUCAGCACCAUUGGCAAGCAUUAAAGAUGAACAUGAAGGAGUUGUACUUUUCUGGAUGUGAUUAAUUUUGGCACAGUGCUUGUUCCCAUGGCUAAGCCCAGUGUGCACUGCUGUUCUUGUCAGGUUUGUUAUGUGUGUUUUCUCUUUCCAAGGUAUUAUGUCUUCACUGUGGAACAUUCAUCCAGACUCAGAUUUGGCAAACAGAGUCUGAAC